rnacentral:rRNA from 1 species
GGCGGCAGGCCUAACACAUGCAAGUCGAGCGGUAGCACAGAGAGCUUGCUCUCGGGUGACGAGCGGCGGACGGGUGAGUAAUGUCUGGGAAACUGCCUGAUGGAGGGGGAUAACUACUGGAAACGGUAGCUAAUACCGCAUAACGUCGCAAGCCCAAAGAGGGGACCUUCGGGCCUCUUGCCAUCAGAUGUGCCCAGAUGGGAUUAGCUGAGUAGGUGGGGUAACGGCUCACCUAGGCGACGAUCCCUAGCUGGUCUGAGAGGAUGACCAGCCACACUGGAACUGAGACACGGUCCACACUCCUACGGGAGGCAGCAGUGGGGAAUAUUGCACAAUGGGCGCAAGCCUGAUGCAGCCAUGCCGCGUGUAUGAAGAA